rnacentral:rRNA from 1 species
UACGGGGGGGGCAAGCGUUGUUCGGAAUUACUGGGCGUAAAGGGCUCGUAGGUGGCCAACUAAGUCGGACGUGAAAUCCCUCAGCUUAACUGGGGAACUGCGUCCGAUACUGGAUGGCUUGAGUUUGGGAGAGGGAUGCGGAAUUCCAGGUGUAGCGGUGAAAUGCGUAGAUAUCUGGAGGAACACCGGUGGCGAAGGCGGCUCACUGGCCCGAUACUGACGCUGAGGCACGAAAGCGUGGGGAGCAAACAGG